GACAUGCCAGGGGAUUUGUCAUCGUAGCCACCAGACAUCUGAGGGGAGAAGUUCUGGAAGAAAAACAAACACAAACAAACACGAUCUCAAAGCAGCUUUAAACCCAGAGGAGACGCAGCCGCUCGACAUCAUGUGACCAACCAGGAGUGGACUGGUGGUGGUCAUGUGACAUCAGGAUACAGGAAAUCUCAGCAGCCGUCCGCCCACGAAGAGAAAAUCCACUUUCAAAAACCAGUGAAAAAACAGCCAAAAGGGUUGAGAAGCUCCAGUAAAGUGAUGAAACUUACGGUCGUCCUCGCCCUGCGCUCUGACCAGGAGCACUGCAGCGCUGAGCAGCAGCGCCAGCCGCAUAUCCACAAAGCUGAACAUGUCUAGAUGCCACUAGACAUGUAGACUCUUUGAGGCGAGAGGAAAAAAGUUGGGGUGCUUUCUCUUUCUGCUACACUCCACUCAUACACUGGUGUUUGGGGCAGGGUCCGCUCGUCUGUUCACACUCCUGACCCCAGCAGAAAACUCCCUACUGCCUCCACUCACUUUUCACCAGGGUUUUUAUAUGGGAGCCUGGAGAACUGGGAGGUGCCGGGGACUGGACCGGCUGAGGACGCACCCUCAUUACCCGCUGCUGCCGCUCACGUUUAGGGAAGACAAGAAUGGACCCCUCCUUCAAAGAGAAAAAAACAGAAGAGGAAGAACAAGGAGAAAAAAGCAGGUCCCUCCUUCCAUGAUUCCAAGAGUUUGGAUCAGAGAGUGGAGGGGAGAGGGGAGAGGAAACGUGAUCCUGAAGAGCAUCAGAGGGUCGGAGGAGGAUCUGCUCUUCCACCAGUGCAUGGGUUUAAUCCUGUUCUUAUUUCUGGUCUGGUCUACUUCCUGGUUCACUUUGAUUUCAGCUGAAAGUCAGUGUUUCUGGUUGUCUGGCAGUUCUAGUUUUAGUUCAGGUCUAAACUAUUAGAGCAGGUCGGAUGGUUUCAGUUACGUCAGUGUUUUUACAGCUUUAGUUGUCAGAGUGUUGACACGUCGGACGCUGCAGCCUCACGAGUGUUUGCUUUAAUUUGUAGCUUCAGCUCAGCUGGGAUCUUUGAUUCUGUUCUGAUCAGGCCGGAGGUUACAGGUCACGUUUAUGAACUCUUGUUAUUUUCUAAAUAAAGAUUUUAAAACUGC